rnacentral:rRNA from 1 species
GAUGAACGCUGGCGGCGUGCCUAAUACAUGCAAGUCGAACGCUUCACUUCGGUGAAGAGUGGCGAACGGGUGAGUAAUACAUAAGUAACCUGGCAUCUACAGGGGGAUAACUGAUGGAAACGUCAGCUAAGACCGCAUAGGUGUAGAGAUCGCAUGAACUCUAUAUGAAAAGUGCUACGGGACUGGUAGAUGAUGGACUUAUGGCGCAUUAGCUUGUUGGUAGGGUAACGGCCUACCAAGGCGACGAUGCGUAGCCGACCUGAGAGGGUGACCGGCCACACUGGGACUGAGACACGGCCCAGACUCCUACGGAAGGCAGCAGUAGGGAAUUUUCGGCAAUGGGGGAAACCCUGACCGAGCAACGCCGCGUGAAGGAAGAAGUAAUUCGUUAUGUAAACUUCUGUCAUAGAGGAAGAACGGUGGAUAUAGGGAAUGAUAUCCAAGUGACGGUACUCUAUAAGAAAGCCACGGCUAACUACGUG